UCCUCUGGUCCACGUAAACACCGUCACAUAUCUACAGCUCCUCGGUGCUCAUUCUGACUGCUACCGCCGCGAACAUUUACAGUCUGCCAGCAGAAAGAAAAAUAUUUUUCUCUUCUUUCCGGAGACGCGUAACAAUGUUGCGGUGCGCUUUUGGCCGAGGAUGAAGAGGCUGAAGGCGGCACUGUGGCUCAGCGUCCUGCUCCUGUUGUGUCUUCCCAUCGUUUUGGAGAACGGCAGCACUGCUGGAACUGGAAAGAGCACUAAGCCGAGUUUAGAUCGGACGAAUCAGGAAACCCACGCCUCCAGCAUCCUGAAAGAAAAGAUCGUUGCCGCCACC